GUGGGGUAAUUUUUCCGCAAUGGGCGAAAGCCUGACGGAGCAAUGCCGCGUGGAGGUGGAAGGCCUACGGGUCGUCAACUUCUUUUCUCGGAGAAGAAACAAUGACGGUAUCUGAGGAAUAAGCAUCGGCUAACUCUGUGACAG
rnacentral:rRNA from 1 species